CGGGAGUGCGCAUGCGCGUUGGGCGAGGCUGAGGGAGGAGGGAGAGAUUCGUGGGAGGACGGAACCCGGGGAUGGGACUGGAGGAGUUUCCGUGACCUUGCGGGCUGUUUGUGCUGAGGGGCAGCUUUAUUUAAAUAAUAAUAUGCGUGCAGGCGCCCUGCAUGAUUCCUGGCCGCGUGCUUUCUAGUUAACUAGGUCACUGUUUGCUCUCAGUAGCAACCCUGCCUCCCGCAGUUCGCUUGGUCCUUGAUUACAGGUUCGUGCUGUGCAUUCAUUCAUUCAGUGAGAGCCGAAUAAGUACUAGUGGCCAAGGAGACAGCAGUGAGCUCAACAGCUGAAUGGCCUCAGACCUUACCGAGUUUCUCAAUACCAGGGUUAUUGACAUUGGGGGCAGACAUUGCUUUGUUCUCGGGGGCUGCCCUGUGCGUUGUAGGAUGUUGAGGAUCUUCCCUCACCUCACCCACGGGAUGCCAGGAAAAAUCCUCUCCGGCCCCCAACUCCUGGUUGUGACAACCAAAAAUGUCUCCAGACAUUGCCAAAUGUCCCCUGGGGGCUGAAGUCAGCCUACUGAGAACUGCCGCCUUAGAAGUUUUCCAACACUCUUCUAUACCUUCCCAUAACUUGGUCACCCAGGAAACUCUCACCAGGUGAUUGAACUCUGAUAUGAAUGGACAUGAUCUGACACAUUAACUUCAUUUUACAUAAAAUUUAAGAGCACUCCCCUCAUCAAAGGGAAGGGAUGAUUAAAUGUACAAAGGCCAUUAAUGGUAUCCAGAAGUUACAAAAAACUAACAUCAAGCACCUGGGCAUAUAAUCAUCUGGUUAGCAUAUGAAACCUUCUAAUGAUAAAUGGGUUUAUAAAGUUAGUUUAAAAAUUAGUUACUACUGGGUUCCCCCAAAAUAAAAUAUAUCAUUUUUGUGUAAGUUGUCUAUGGAGGGAUUGGCAUUCUCUUCUGAUGUGGUUUGCCUGUGUCCCCACCCAAAUCUCAUCUUGAGUUCCCACAUGUGGGAGGGACCCCGUGGGAGGUAAUUGAAUCAUGGGGGCAGGUCUUUCCCAUGCUGUUCUUGUGAUAGUGAAUAAGUCUCACGAGAUCUGAUGGUUUUUUAUAAA